rnacentral:rRNA from 1 species
AUUGAACGCUGGCGGCAGGCCUAACACAUGCAAGUCGAACGAGUGGCGGACGGGUGAGUAAUGUCUGGGAAACUGCCCGAUGGAGGGGGAUCACUACUGGAAACGGUAGCUAAUACCGCAUACCAUCGGAUGUUCCCAGAUGGGAUUAGCUAGUGGGUGGGGUAACGGCUCACCUAGGCGACGAUCCCUAGCCGGUCUGAGAGGAUGACCAGCCACACUGGGACUGAGACACGGUCCAGACUCCUACGGGAGGCAGCAGUGGGGAAUAUUGCGCAAUGGGCGCAAGCCUGAUGCAGCCAUGCCGCGUGUGUGAAGAAGGCCUUCGGGUUGUAAAGCACUUUCAGCGAGGAGGCGGUACCCGCAGAAGAAGCACCGGCUAACUCCGUGCCAGCAGCCGCGGUAAUAC